rnacentral:rRNA from 1 species
UACGUAGGGGGCGAGCGUUGUCCGGAUUUAUUGGGCGUAAAGAGCUCGUAGGCGGUUCGGUUAGUCGGAUGUGAAAUCUCCACGCUCAACGUGGAGGCGCCAUCCGAUACUGCCGUGACUCGAGUCCGGUAGGGGAGUGUGGAAUUCCCGGUGUAGCGGUGAAAUGCGCAGAUAUCGGGAGGAACACCGGUGGCGAAGGCGGUUCUCUGGGCCUUACCUGACGCUGAGGAGCGAAAGCGUGGGGAGCAAACAG